GACGACAUCUGUCACCCUUUCUUAAAAGUCCGUGGGCCAUCCCCAGGGUUCUGUGACAGCAACCUUAUUGUGAUCCUUUUGUAGUUCAUGAGCGUGAUGAUUGGGUGUUCACGCGGCUGUGUGACAUGUGCCACCCACAAACCUUGUUACGACGUGGGCACAUUACCCAUCUGACGUGAACUAGAAGGAUCGUCAUCAUUAUCAUCGUCGUUUUUUUCAGUGUUUGUUUUAAGUUGGUUGUUGGUGUUUUUUUUGUUGCUGGUUUUGUGUUUUCCUGUUAGCUUUGUCUGUUGGUUUUUUUUAACGUUUAGGUUUUCCAGAUUUCAGUGGGUUUUCUUUGGAGUUAACUUCUGUAAGUGUGUAGACGCAGGCAUUUAAAGAUCCACCUGUAUUAAGCGUCGAAUCGCUAACCCGCCUGUGGCCCCUUCGUCGCGGGGCUUCUUGGGAGGUGGUGGGCGCUCCGGGCUGGGGAGCCGCCUGGGGCCACGUGUUCCCGGGCAGCCGCGUGGGGUUGAGGUUGCGGCCCCGUUGCCCCAGCCCGUCUCCUGCGACGUCUGCACUGCUUGUCCCCCUCGCUGCGGGUUCCCUGAGGGUGGGGCUGGGUCAAACGACCUUGGGUUCCCCAGGGGCCGGUCACGGUGGCUGGCCACCUGUGGGACUGUGUCCGUGACUUCACAUAGCUCCGACUGCGUCGUGGGAGCCCGGGAAGCACGCUCCCUUCGCGCCAAGGCGUGGGCAGGAGCGCAGAGCAACGCGCGUCCGGCGCGGGGAGGGUCGGAGAGCCGGCGUCGCGGGGAGGGACCCUCAGCCGGAAGCCCCGCGCCUCCUCGCCGCCGCCGCUCAGACCUGCGCUGCCCGGCGGGUGGGCUCAGCCCGACGAGGACUGGCUGAAUAAACCAGGGUACACCACACAAUGCAGUUCUGUGCAGCUGGACAAAGCAAUGAAGACCAUCUCUGUGGAGGCCGUGGAACUCCAGGAUGUAUUGUUAAGUGAAAAAAGCAAGGCUGAGACCGUGUAUGUGUCGCCUUUCUUCUAAGAAAGAUGUGUGCCUUUGCUUACAUUUUAAAGCAGCAGCAAUGGAAGUAUAAAUUACAAACUAAUAAAAAUGGCUACCCAUAAAAAAGAACAGGAUGAAAGAAAG
rnacentral:lncRNA from 1 species